GCUAAGAUGGAGGUGGCUCUCUCUAUACUGACUGCCAGGUGUAAAGGGCGGAGCUUAUAACAAUGACUGACAGGGAGCUAAGAUGGAGGCGGCUCUCUCUAUACUGACUGCCAGGUGUAAAGGGCGGAGCUUAUAACAAUGAUUGACAGGGAGCUAAGAUGGAGGCGUCUCUCUCUCUAUACUGACUGUCAGGUGUAAAGGGCGGAGCUUAUAACUAUGAUUGACAGGGAGCUAAGAUGGAGGCGGCUCUCUCUAUACUGACUGCCAGGUGUAAAGGGCGGAGCUUAUAACAAUGACUGACAGAGAGCUAAGAUGGGCUCUCUGCUGCAACUGCCAGGUGUAAAAGAGGCAGGAAAGCAUAACAAUGACUGACGAGAGCUAAGAUGGGCUCUCUCUGCAGCUGCCAGGUGUAAAGGGCGGAGCUUAUAACAAUGACUGACAGGGAGCUAAGAUGGAGGCGGCUCUCUCUAUACUGACUGCCAGGUGUAAAGAGCGGAGCUUAUAACAAUGAUUGACAGGGAGCUAAGAUGGAGGAGGCUCUCUCUAUACUGACUGCCAGGUGUUAAAUAGCAGAGCUUAUAACAAUGACUGACAGGGAGCUAAGAUGGAGGUGGCUCUCUCUAUAUUGACUGCCAGGUGUAAAGGGCGGAGCUUAUAACAAUGACUGACAGGGAGCUAAGAUGGAGGUGGCUCUCUCUAUACUGACUGCCAGGUGUAAUGGGCGGAGCUUAUAACAAUGAUUGACAGGGCGCUAAGAUGCUUAUAACAAUGAUUGACAGGGAGCUAAGAUGGAGGCGGCUCUCUCUAUACUGACUGCCAGGUGUAAAGGGCGGAGCUUAUAACAAUGAUUGACAGGGAGCUAAGAUGGAGGUGGCUCUCUCUAUACUGACUACCAGGUGUUCCCCAUACUGACUGCCAGGUGGGCAUGCGGAGCUUAUAACAAUGACUGACAGGGAGCUAAGAUGGAGGUGGCUCUCUAUACUGACCGCCAGGUAAAGGGUGGAGCUUAUAACAAUGAUUGACAGGGAGCUAAGAUGGAGGUGGCUCUCUCCAUACUGACUGCCAGGUAUAAAGGGCGGAGCUUAUAACAAUGAUUGAGAGGGAGCUAAGAUGGAGGCAGCUCUCUCUAUACUGACUGCCAGGUGUAAUGGGCAGAGCUUAUAACAAUGAUUGACAGGGAGCUAAGAUGGAGGUGGCUCUCUAUAUACUGACUGCCAGGUGUAAAGGGCGGAGCUUAUAACAAUGAUUGACAGGGAGCUAAGAUGGAGGCGGCUCUCUCUCUAUACUGACUGUCAGGUGUAAAGGGCGGAGCUUAUAACAAUGAUUGACAGGGAGCUAAGAUGGAGGCGGCUCUCUCUCUAUACUGACUGCCAGGUGUAAAGGGCGGAGCUUAUAACAAUUAUAACAAUGACUGACAGGGAGCUAAGAUGGAGGUUGCUCUCUCUAUACUGACUGCCAGGUGUAAUGGGCGGAGCUUAUAACAAUGAUUGACAGGGAGCUAAGAUGGAGGCUCUCUCUAUACUGACUGCCAGGUGUAAAGGGCGGAGCUUAUAACAAUGACUGACAGGGAGCUAAGAUGGAGGCGGCUCUCUCUAUACUGACUGCCAGGUGUAAAGGGCGGAGUUUAUAACAAUGAUUGACAGGAGCUAAGAUGGAGGCGGCUCUCUCUAUACUGACUGCCAGGUGUAAAGGGCGGAGCUUAUAACAAUGACUGACAGGGAGCUAAGAUGGAGGUGGCUCUCUCUAUACUGACUGCCAGGUGUAAAGGGCGGAGCUUAUAACAAUGAUUGACAGGGAGCUAAGAUGGAGGCUGCUCUCUCUAUACUGACUGCCAGGUGUAAAGGGCGGAGCUUAUAACAAUGAUUGACAGGGAGCUAAGAUGGAGGCGGCUCUCUCUAUACUGACUGCCAGGUGUAAAGGGCGGAGCUUAUAACAAUGAUUGACAGGGAGCUAAGAUGGAGCGGCUCUCUCUAUACUGACUGCCAGGUGUAAAGGGCGGAGCUUAUAACAAUGAUUGACAGGGAGCUAAGAUGGAGGCGGCUCUCUCUAUACUGACUGCCAGGUGUAAUGGGCGGAGCUUAUAACAAUGAUUGACAGGGAGC
rnacentral:lncRNA from 1 species